UACGGAGGAUGCAAGCGUUAUCCGGAUUCAUUGGGUUUAAAGGGUGCGCAGGCGGGGAUGUAAGUCAGUGGUGAAAAGCUGCCGCUUAACGGUAGUCUUGCCAAUGAUACUACAUUUCUUGAGUAUGGUUAAGGUAGGCGGAAUGUGCAGUGUAGCGGUGAAAUGCAUAGAGAUUGCACAGAAGGCCGAUUGCGGAGGCAGCUUACUGAGCCAUAACUGACGCUGAGGCUCGAAAGCGUGGGGAGCAAA
rnacentral:rRNA from 1 species